rnacentral:rRNA from 1 species
GCAGUCGUACGCUUCUUUUUCCACCGGAGCUUGCUCCACCGGAAAAAGAAGAGUGGCGAACGGGUGAGUAACACGUGGGUAACCUGCCCAUCAGAAGGGGAUAACACUUGGAAACAGGUGCUAAUACCGUAUAACAAUCGAAACCGCAUGGUUUUGAUUUGAAAGGCGCUUUCGGGUGUCGCUGAUGGAUGGACCCGCGGUGCAUUAGCUAGUUGGUGAGGUAACGGCUCACCAAGGCCACGAUGCAUAGCCGACCUGAGAGGGUGAUCGGCCACAUUGGGACUGAGACACGGCCCAAACUCCUACGGGAGGCAGCAGUAGGGAAUCUUCGGCAAUGGACGAAAGUCUGACCGAGCAACGCCGCGUGAGUGAAGAAGGUUUUCGGAUCGUAAAACUCUGUUGUUAGAGAAGAACAAGGAUGAGAGUAACUGUUCAUCCCUUGACGGUAUCUAACCAGAAAGCCACGGCUAACUACGUGCCAGCAGCCGCGGUAAUACGUAGGUGGCAAGCGUUGUCCGGAUUUAUUGGGCGUAAAGCGAGCGCAGGCGGUUUCUUAAGUCUGAUGUGAAAGCCCCCGGCUCAACCGGGGAGGGUCAUUGGAAACUGGGAGACUUGAGUGCAGAAGAGGAGAGUGGAAUUCCAUGUGUAGCGGUGAAAUGCGUAGAUAUAUGGAGGAACACCA